AUUGAACGCUGGCGGCAGGCUUAACACAUGCAAGUCGAGCGGGGGAAGGUAGCUUGCUACCGGACCUAGCGGCGGACGGGUGAGUAAUGCUUAGGAAUCUGCCUAUUAGUGGGGGACAACAUCUCGAAAGGGAUGCUAAUACCGCAUACGUCCUACGGGAGAAAGCAGGGGAUCUUCGGACCUUGCGCUAAUAGAUGAGCCUAAGUCAGAUUAGCUAGUUGGCGGGGUAAAGGCCUACCAAGGCGACGAUCUGUAGCGGGUCUGAGAGGAUGGUCCGCCACACUGGGACGGGGACACGGCCCAGACUCCUACGGGAGGCAGCAGUGGGGAAUAUUGGACAAUGGGGGGAACCCUGAUCCAGCAAUGCCGCGUGUGGGAAGAAGGCCUUAUGGUUGUAAAGCACUUUAAGCGAGGAGGAGGCUACUUUAGUUAAUACCUAGAGAUAGUGGACGUUACUCGCAGAAUAAGCACCGGCUAACUCUGUGCCAGCCGCCGCCGUAA
rnacentral:rRNA from 1 species